GCCCGGGUGGCGAAAUUGGUAGACGCGCUAGUUUCAGGUUCUAGUGCUGAGAGGCAUGCAGGUUCGAUUCCUGUCCCGGGUA
rnacentral:tRNA from 1 species